UUUUGAUCAGCUAUCCUGGUGCCAUGGUUGCAGGUUUAUGUUAAGAGCACGUUUUUUACUCACUCCAUCUGCAAGCCUCAAAUUGGUUAAUAGUGUGGUAUGGAGGAUGUCUCAGUAAAGUGAAAAGCCUCAGUAAUGUUUAGGGGUAGCUACAGCUCUUUUUGUUAGCUUGAUGAAUAUUCAAGAUGUUGAAAUGGCUAUGUUCUUUGUCAUUUUGGACAUGUGACUUAGAUGUAGCGUGAUGUAUAUUGCUACCUGGAUGUAUGAGUUUGACAAUAUAAUUUUUUGCAACCUGGGAUUUUGUCAAGAUUGUGUAAUUGUUGAGUGAGUGGGCUUAAAAACAA